CCGUGGGGCUCGGGCUCGCAACACGGUGCCCGCGCCCGCGCCUCCACUACUUCCCUUCGUCGACCACGAGCUUCCCUGCCUCCCUAGUCUCCUGCUACCUGGGUGGCCGGGGCCCCUCCACACCGUGGUGCGGUGGUAGGCUGCGGCUUCCCUCUCCUCUCCUUCAGCGACCUCGAUGGCUUCCUCCACGGCUACAAAUACCACUGCUGGGUGGGGAGCGUCCAUAUCCUGCAGGAGCUCUUCGGUAUUCGACGUAUUCGACCAAGACAAUCCUGCCGAAUAUGAGCAAACAUGUAUGGUACUAGAGGAUGAUACGAAGGCCACUUACAACACUAAUCUGUUCCUUAAUUCCUGUUUAUCCCCUGUUUUUCUCUUGCUCAAGUUUAUGCACCGCACAUGCAUACCAAAGGUUUCUAGAGGUAGAGCUUUCUGGAGUACAAAUAGAUGGUUAAGAAUGAUGUACUUUUAUUGAUUAUAGCUUCUAAUCAUUUUGGGAUCGGCAACUAAUCCAUCCUUUUAUUACUCAUGUAUCUCUCCUGGUCAGCUUUGUUGUGCAGCCGUACAUUAUUAUGUCUAGUCGCAGAACUGGAAAAAAAAGGGACGGUUAAAAGUGCAGUACUUUAGAUGGUCUCUUUUCUGUUUGAUGAUAAUUAUUGCAUUAACGUCAAGCAUAAGAAUCUGACAUGUCGGCCUGGUUAUUAGAGGUCGUGGUGCUAAUAUUUAGUCCCGGUAAUUGAUGUUUUGGUGCUAUAGGCCUAAACUUGCUGUUAUCUGGCUAUGAAUAUCCCUGGUUGGUAUUGUGUGGUCUUUAUCUUUGAUCGAUUUUAUAUGAGUGGUUGGUAUUCCUCAGUCCAGGCUUAAGCAUAUAUCCAUGUAUGGGCAUUGUACUUGCAAAUUCUGCAUUCUUUAGAUGAGAUGAACUAUUCUCCUUAAUCCUUAUACUAGUGAGGUGUGCUGCUAUUUGAAAUCUCGUCAGUUGGGAGUCAUUUCUAGUUGGAAGCACAUGCCAGUUUAUUGUUUUGAAGCGUGAACUGAUCAUUUAGCCAAUCUUUGUUUCCUGGGAUAUAUAUUAUCCACUGUAUUUGAUCCUCGAGAGCCAGCUGUUACAGCUUGCUAGCUGAAACGCUAAGCAUAUUGUCGUGGUUGAUGUGUUAAGCAUUCCAGUGGGUAUUCUUUUGGAGGUUGUGACUUUGAUGAAACUUUAUUUGCUUUUUGUAUAUGGAUUCUUCUCUCUGCUCAGUAGUCAUUUAUUUUGAGGUCUAUGGUCAAUCCAGAUUUGGGAUGCUUAUGGCUAUUUCAUUCAUAUUGGGAAAAUGUAGCAGCAGGCUGUUCACCAUUUUUUUUAUUCUAACAAGUACCUACUUUUUGGAUCUGUAGGCUGGCUGGGGAGCGUCCAUAUCCUGCAGGAGCUCUUCGGCAUUGGCACCAAAAGGUGGGAGAUCCUAGUGUCGAGGAGGUGACGGAGGAAACCCACGACGUGUCCCAGGAGGCAAAAGGGUGUGGCCAUGGAAGCUUCUCCCCUUCAAGGUAAUGUUGUUUCCCCUCUGCACUAGCUAACUAAGGCACAUUGCAUCGUCUAGCCACGGAUAAAUGUAGGUCAAAAUUAAUCUUCCUUGUGCAUUAUUUUCUGUAUCGUUUCCUAUGCAAUACCUCCAAGGAUUAGUUUUCAACAUUCCUUCUAGUUUUGUAGAACUGGAGAUCUUUAUUUUGUGAACUGUGAAUAUGCCUUCUAUUGUGAACUGUGAACAUGCCUUCUAGUUUUGAACAUGCCUUCUGUUGUGAACUGGUGAACAUGCCAGAUUUCAAACAUGGUUGCUUGUAGGUAACAUCCAGCAAUAGAUAGAACAUCUGCUGAGAUUGCAAAUACAUUCCAAAAGAAGUUAAACUCCAUUGCAGCAAGUAAGAAGAGAAACAGUGGAAGCCAAAAAGUCAUAUGCAUUUCAUCUGUACAGUUACUGCAUAGAUAUUGCACUUGGUACUGUCACAUGUUACUUCAUUUCAUCUGGAUACUAUCAUAUGUUACUCCAUUUGAACUGUAAUGAUGUAUACAGCAUACUAUGCUGUGAUGUGAUGCAUACAAAAAUGUUGGAGUGUAAUUGUAUGUUUCAGUGUAA